GCCAUCGGUAAGGCCGGGCACUCUGGAUGGACUGCCGGCGACGAAAGCCGGAGGAAGUGGGGACGACGUCAAGUCAUCAUGGCCCUUAUGUCCAGGGCGACACACGUGCUACAAUGGCCGGGCACAACGGGAAGGCGAAGGGGCGACCCUGAGCGGAUCCCACAAAAGCCGGUCUCAGUUCGGAUUGCAGUCUGCAACUCGACUGCAUGAAGUUGGAAUCGCUAGUAAUCGUGGAUCAGCCAAGCCGCGGUGAAUACGUUCCCGGGCCUU
rnacentral:rRNA from 1 species